CCUUCGAUAGCUCAGCCGGUAGAGCGGAGGACUGUAGAUCCUUAGGUCUCUGGUUCGAUUCCGGCUCGAAGGA
rnacentral:tRNA from 1 species